CCGCCUCUCCCAUUCCACUGACUCAAAUGUUAAUCUCCUUUGGCAACACCCUCGUGGACACACCCAGGAACAAUGCUUUGCAUCCUUCAACCCAGUCAAGUUGGUGCUCAGUAUUAGCCAUCACAGGGGGUAUGUUAAGCAAGACUUGU